rnacentral:rRNA from 1 species
UACAGAGGUCUCAAGCGUUUGUUCGGAUUCAUUGGGGCGUAAAAGGGUGCGUAGGUGGCGCUGUAAGUCGGGUGUGAAAUUUCGGAGCUUAACUCCGAAACUGCAUUCGAUACUGCGGUGCUUGAGGACUGGAGAGGAGACUGGAAUUCAUGGUGUAGCAGUGAAAUGCGUAGAGAUCAUGAGGAAGACCAGUGGCGAAGGCGGGGUCUCUGGACAGUUCCUGACACUGAGGCAACGAAGGCCAGGGGAGCAAAACGGGG